rnacentral:rRNA from 1 species
ACGUAGGUGGCGAGCGUUAUCCGGAAUGAUUGGGCGUAAAGGGUGCGUAGGUGGCAGAUCAAGUCUGGAGUAAAAGGUAUGGGCUCAACCCGUACUGGCUCUGGAAACUGAUCAGCUAGAGAACAGAAGAGGACGGCGGAACUCCAUGUGUAGCGGUAAAAUGCGUAGAUAUAUGGAAGAACACCGGUGGCGAAGGCGGCCGUCUGGUCUGGAUACUGACACUGAAGCACGAAAGCGUGGGGAGCAAAUAG